rnacentral:rRNA from 1 species
AAUCAACGCUGGCGGCGUGCCUAACACAUGCAAGUCGCACGAGAAAGGGGAGCAAUCCCUGAGUAAAGUGGCGCACGGGUGAGUAACACGUGACUAACCUACCCUCGAGUGGGGAAUAACCUAGAGAAAUCUGGGCUAAUACCGCAUAACACUUACGAGUCAAAGCAGCAAUGCGCUUGAGGAGGGGGUCGCGGCAGAUUAGCUAGUUGGCGGGGUAAUGGCCCACCAAGGCAAUGAUCUGUAUCCGGCCUGAGAGGGCGCACGGACACACUGGAACUGGAACACGGUCCAGACUCCUACGGGAGGCAGCAGUGGGGAAUUUUGCGCAAUGGGGGAAACCCUGACGCAGCAACGCCGCGUGGA